rnacentral:rRNA from 1 species
UUGGAGGGCAAGUCUGGUGCCAGCAGCCGCGGUAAUUCCAGCUCCAAUAGCGUAUAUUAAAGUUGUUGCAGUUAAAAAGCUCGUAGUUGAAUUUCGGGGUUAGUAGGUUGGUCAUGCCUCUGGUAUGUACUGGUCUCACUGAUUCCUCCUUCCUGAUGAACCGUAAUGCCAUUAAUUUGGUGUUGCGGGGAAUUUGGACUGUUACUUUGAAAAAAUUAGAGUGUUUAAAGCAAGCUAACGCUUGAAUACAUUAGCAUGGAAUAAUGAAAUAGGACGUUCGAUCCUAUUUUGUUGGUUUCUAGGAUUGACGUAAUGAUUAAUAGGGAUAGUUGGGGGCAUUAGUAUUCAAUUGUCAGAGGUGAAAUUCUUGGAUUUAUUGAAGACUAACUACUGCGAAAGCAUUUGCCAAGGAUGUUUUCAUUAAUCAAGAACGAAAGUUAGGGGAUCGGAGACGAUCAGAUACCGUCGUAGUCUUAACCAUAAACUAUGCCGACUAGGGAUCGGAUGAUGUUAAUUUUUUAAUGACUCAUUCGGCACCUUACGGGAAAC